rnacentral:lncRNA from 1 species
GGUAGGUUUAAGUGACUGGGUGAUCAGUGUUAGAUGAAGGUAGAAAUGGAGUUAGAUGGAAAUGUGGAGAUUUUGAAAAAAGAAGAAAGAGGAAGAGAAGGAGGAGGAAGAGGAGAAGCAGCAGCAUUCAUAAAAGGAGCAGAGAUGCUUGCCCUCGAAACCCAGCCACUUUACGGUGAGGAAGGCCAAACUAGGCCAUGUGGAGAGACCACAUGAAGAGGCCCACGUGUAGAGGAACUGAGGCCCCCAACCACAGCCAGCAUCAAUCGUCAGACACAAUUUUUAAGCAGAUGGGAAUUUCUGUUUGGGAUCAGCAUCGUGACAUGAUCCAGUUCUGCAUUGCUUUCUGACAGUGAUAAGGAGACAGUUUGCCAG